rnacentral:rRNA from 1 species
GAUGAACGCUGGCGGCGUGCCUAAUACAUGCAAGUCGAGCGAACAGAUGAGGAGCUUGCUCCUCUGACGUUAGCGGCGGACGGGUGAGUAACACGUGGAUAACCUACCUAUAAGACUGGGAUAACUUCGGGAAACCGGAGCUAAUACCGGAUAAUAUAUUGAACCGCAUGGUUCAAUAGCGAAAGACGGUUUUGCUGUCACUUAUAGAUGGAUCCGCGCCGCAUUAGCUAGUUGGUAAGGUAACGGCUUACCAAGGCAACGAUGCGUAGCCGACCUGAGAGGGUGAUCGGCCACACUGGAACUGAGACACGGUCCAGACUCCUACGGGGGGCAGCAGUAGGGAAUCUUCCGCAAUGGGCGAAAGCCUGACGGAGCAACGCCGCGUGAGUGAUGAAGGUCUUCGGAUCGUAAAACUCUGUUAUUAGGGAAGAACAAAUGUGUAAGUAACUAUGCACGUCUUGACGGUACCUAAUCAGAAAGCCACGGCUAACUACGUG